GAGGGUAGUACGAUAGGAACUGCUCAUUCAGAUAAUUGGUAUUUGCGCCUGUCCGAUCGGGCAAUGGCGCGAAGCUAUCAUCUGCUAGAUUAUGGCUGAACGCCUCUAAGUCAGAAUCUGUGCCAGAAACGAUGAUGUUGGUCCCGCACAUGUUAGUUGUGUUUAAAUAGAGCUUCGGCUUGUGA
rnacentral:rRNA from 1 species